GGCUCUGUGGCGCAAUGGAUAGCGCAUUGGACUUCUAAUUCAAAGGUUGUGGGUUCGAGUCCCACCAAAGUCA
rnacentral:tRNA from 1 species